rnacentral:tRNA from 1 species
GCCCCGGUGGCUCAGCGGCUAGAGCAACGGCCUCGUAUGUAGAAGCCCGGGAGAGCCGUGGGUCGCGGGUUCGAAUCCCGCCCGGGGCU